AUUGAACGCUGGCGGCAGGCCUAACACAUGCAAGUCGAGCGAGCGGCGGACGGGUGAGUAAUGUCUGGGAAACAGCCUGAUGGAGGGGGAUAAAUACUGGAAACGGUAGCUAAUACCGCAUACCAUCAGAUGUGUCCAGAUGGGAUUAGCUAGUAGGUGGGGUAACGGCGGACCUAGGCGACGAUCCCUAGCUGGUCUGAGAGGAUGACCAGCCACACUGGAACUGAGACACGGUCCAGACUCCUACGGGAGUCAGCAGUGGGGAAUAGUGCACAAUGGGCGCAAGCCUGAGGCAGCCAUGCCGCGUGUGGGAAGAAGGCCUUCGGGUUGUAAAGCACUUUCAGCGGGGAGGCGUUACCCGCAGAAGAAGCACCGGCUAACUCCGUGCCAGCAGCCGCGGUAAUAC
rnacentral:rRNA from 1 species